GCUGGCGUAGCUCAGUUGGUAGAGCAACUGACUUGUAAUCAGUAGGUCAGGGGUUCAAGUCCCCUUGCCAGCU
rfam:Limnothrix sp. P13C2 contig_5, whole genome shotgun sequence.